rnacentral:misc_RNA from 1 species
ACACUGGAGCUGUAUAUUGGUAAACCACCGAUUUCUAAAAGCAAGGAGUUACCCUCAUUAGGAGGCAAGCAAAGAAGAGGAGCUCAAGCAAAAAGGUUAUAUCAACGAUAAAAGCACACUACACAAGGGAGACCCCUCCCCCCUUUCCCACCAGCAUAAAAAGGGAAACAUAUAUCCUACAAAACCAAUUGACUACCCUACAUAUCAACUUUUUUUUUUUUUU